GAUGAACGCUGGCGGCGUGCCUAAUACAUGCAAGUCGAGCGAACAGACGAGGAGCUUGCUCCUCUGACGUUAGCGGCGGACGGGUGAGUAACACGUGGAUAACCUACCUAUAAGACUGGGAUAACUUCGGGAAACCGGAGCUAAUACCGGAUAAUAUAUUGAACCGCAUGGUUCAAUAGUGAAAGACGGUUUUGCUGUCACUUAUAGAUGGAUCCGCGCCGCAUUAGCUAGUUGGUAAGGUAACGGCUUACCAAGGCAACGAUGCGUAGCCGACCUGAGAGGGUGAUCGGCCACACUGGAACUGAGACACGGUCCAGACUCCUACGGGAGGCAGCAGUAGGGAAUCUUCCGCAAUGGGCGAAAGCUUGACGGAGCAACGCCGCGUGAGUGAUGAAGGUCUUCGGAUCGUAAAACUAUGUUAUUAGGGAAGAACAAAUGUGUAAGUAACUAUGCACGUCUUGACGGUACCUAAUCAGAAAGCCACGGCUAACUACGUG
rnacentral:rRNA from 1 species